UGGGGGAUAUUGCACAAUGGGCGAAAGCCUGAUGCAGCGACGCCGCGUGGGGGAUGAAGGCCUUCGGGUUGUAAACUUCUUUUGCUCUGAACAAGGCGCACCAUGGGGUGUGUUGAGUGUAGGGGUUGAUUAGCGCCGGCUAACUACGUGCCAGCAGCCGCGGUAAUACGUAGGGCGCGAGCGUUGUCCGGAAUUAUUGGGCGUAAAGGGCUUGUAGGUGGCUGGUUGCGUCUGUCGUGAAAGCUCAUGGCUUAACUGGGGGUGUGCGGUGGGUACGGGCUGGCUUGAGUGCAGUAGGGGAGGCUGGAAUUCCUGGUGUAGCGGUGGAAUGCGCAGAUAUCAGGAGGAAUACCGGUGGCGAAGGCGGGUCUCUGGGCUGUUACUGACACUGAGGAGCGAAAGCAUGGGGAGCGAACAGG
rnacentral:rRNA from 1 species